AGCAGCCGCGGUAAUUCCAGCUCCAAUAGCGUAUAUUAAAGUUGUUGCAGUUAAAAAGCUCGUAGUUGAAUUUCGGGGUUCUACCGUUGGUCGGGCUAACCAGUCUGUACUAGCGUGUAGAAUUCCUACCUUCUGGAGAACCAUCAUGUUAUUAAUUUAGCGUGGUGGGAAACCAGGACCUUUACCUUGAAAAAAUUAGAGUGUUCAAAGCAGGCUUACGUCUGAAUACAUUAGCAUGGAAUAAUAGAAUAGGACGGUGGUCCUGUUUUGUUGGUUUCUGAAUCACCGUAAUGAUUAAUAGGGAUAGUUGGGGGCAUUAGUAUUCAAUUGUCAGAGGUGAAAUUCUUGGAUUUAUUGAAGACUAACUUCUGCGAAAGCAUUUGCCAAGGAUGUUUUCAUUAAUCAAGAACGAAAGUUAGGGGAUCGAAGACGAUCAGAUACCGUCGUAGUCUUAACCAUAAACUAUGCCGACUAGGGAUCGGACAAUGUUAAAUUUUAUUGACUCG
rnacentral:rRNA from 1 species